rnacentral:rRNA from 1 species
UGCAACCUACCCAUAUCAGGGGGAUAGCCCUAGGAAACUGGGAUUAACACCGCAUAAUAUAAAUCAUGGCAUCGUGAUUUAUUAAAAUAUUUAUAGGAUAUGGAUGGGCAUGCGUAGGAUUAGCUAGUUGGUAAGGUAACGGCUUACCAAGGCUAUGAUCCUUAGGGGCUCUGAGAGGAGUAUCC